UGGUUGGAGAUGAUUAUUUUAUGUACAGUUUAUGAUAUAUUUUGCCAAAAAAUGUAUCUUUUUCUUCAGUUUUCUGUUUUGAAUAUAAUAACCUUCAACUUUCAUCUGAGCUUUCAUAAAUAUCUACAUAAUACAUUAAACACAGGAUUUUCACUUAAAAAAAUCAAAAUACAGAGUAUAUAAUCAGAGUAAAUGGUGAUAAAUUAGUUAAGAAAGGUUAAAAAAAAGGAGAAAAAUUAAUGUGAGAAGUGCCACAAAAGUAACACUGGGUCUAUAUGGGUUUAAUCAGAGUCAGCUUCAGUGACCAAGUUUGACUCGGGUUUAUACUUAGCUCUGACGCACUACAGAAUAAAUAGAAUAUAGAAUUCAAGUAAAAAGCAUAUAAUAAUUAAAGUUCUACAAAAUAAUAUAAAGAAAAGAGGUGCAAAGACAUAAUAGUGCACUAUAAAAACCAUAGUGCAGUAUAAAAUUAGUAGUAGUAUAUAGAAGUAGCAGUAAAAGUAUUUGUAUUAAUUUCAUUUAAAAUUCAGGAUUUCUUUUUACUUUCUCAAAUGAUCAUUUUAUUAUUUGUUCCAUAGAAUCCACAAGAACAGUAUCUCCAUCCUACUCUCUUACAGACUAAAUGAACUGUGUGAAGCUUUUUUUUCUGUCUUAAGAAAAGUUACAAAACCAUAUUUACGUAGGUAAUAUCCAAAUAGAAUUCAUAUAUACAGGAUGUCGCAAAUCCUUGAAAAGUCUUAAAUUUGAUUAUCUUAAAUUAAGGCUUUAAUUAUCUUUAAAAGUGGUUAUUAAUUCUUCAAUGUGACACUCAAAGGUGUUGAAAAAAAUCCACAGAUACAAUAGAUGAUAUUGCUGUAUAUGCAUUAGAAAUCUUUGUAAAGAAUUUGUCAAAUAUGUAAGUAUUGUUGAUCAUGUUAACGUAACGGAAAUGGGAAUGAGUGGAGCUUCCUACAGUCAUAUUUAUGGGUGGAAGGGUUCAGGUGUGAGCUUUAGCAGCUUGAAUGUCAGUAUCAGAAACAUUUGUCAUAGACAAAUGGAAAUGUAUCAUUAGCAGGAUUGAAACAUGAUUAAGACUGGCAAUACUAUAAGGCCCAUUGUACUCUUAUUUAUGGAAAUGUCACAUCUUAUUUUGACCAAAGACACCUUGAAAAAUGUCUUAAAAAGUCAAAUUUGACUUCCUCAUACUGGAGAUACCUCAGAUAAGAGUUUUUUUUUUUCCCCAUAACAUUAAAGAAAGUCAUUGUCCAGAGCUGCUUAUACUGCUGCAUAAUGAAUUAAAUGGCACAACUUGUGUCAUAUUCUAUAAGAUCAUCAUAGGUUUGUAUUGUCACAAACCUGAGACAACUGUAUAUCUCUCAAAAUUCAAUGUAUUUUCCAGCAAUCCAAGACUUUUGUAGAGUUUAUGUAUCUUAAGAAGGAUCAGAAAUGUAAACUUUGUAACAAAUAUUCAAAAUCAACACAUAUGGACAGGAAGGGGAUGAAAACCGUAACAUGUCAAGUACUAAAGCUAUGAGAAAUGUAAAGUAAAAAAUAAAAUAAAAAUGACGUAUUUACCGCUGACAUGUAGUGAAAGUAGACUUGUUAAACUGCAGAAAAUGGAAAUACUCGAGUGAAGAACAAGAACCUCACACUUGUACGUAAGUACAAAACUUGAGUAGUACUUGUAAUCUCAUGUUAGAUCAGAAAUGACUGAUGCUGAAUGUUGGAAUCAAGGUGCUCGAGUAAUUAACUACAUUUUCCUAAAUUUUAGGAGUCACAAAUAUGUACCAUUGUGGCUGUGAAAUAGGCAUUAAAUUCUGUUCCAAGUAGUCUUAGAACGGUCUGAAAAAGUCUUAAAUUUAACUUGUAGAAACGUGCAGGAGCCCUGUAGUUUAUAUAUUUAUCUACCAGAAACAGAGUUAUAGAUUUGAAUUCCAUAAAUUUAAUGCAGUAGUUCAAUAUUUGGACUGAAAAAUCUGCAAAUAAAUGGUGAAAGUGUGUU